rnacentral:misc_RNA from 2 species
AAGUCGUAACAAGGUUUCCGUAGGUGAACCUGCGGAAGGAUCAUUAACGAGUUUUGAAAUGGGUUGUAGCUGGCCUCAAUGAAAGGCAUGUGCACGCCCUGCUCAUCCACUCUCAUACCCCUGUGCACUUACUGUAGGCUAGGUGGGAUGAACCCCGAUCGCAAGGUUAGGGUUUUGAAAGCCUUGUCUAUGUUUUACUACAAACGAUUCAGUUAUAGAAUGUUACAUUAGCGUUUAACGCAAUAAAUACAACUUUCAGCAACGGAUCUCUUGGCUCUC